AGUGGAAUUGCUGGGUCACGUGAUAACUCUGUUUCACUGUUUGAGAAAUUGCCAAACUGUUUUCCAAAGCAACUGCAUCACUUACAUUCCCAUUAGCAAU
rnacentral:pre_miRNA from 1 species